rnacentral:misc_RNA from 1 species
CCGAUUGUUUAAUACUUUAAAGCAGGGAGGAAAAAAUUGGUGCACUUUUUGUUUUGUCCUUUUUUGUUUGUUUAUUUGUGGAAUUUAUGAUAUCAAAUUCAGUUUCCAAAAACAUCAAGAUUGAAUAGGAAAUUGUUCAGGAGAGAUCAAAUUGACCUUUAUGUGAUAUCAAUAUCUCAAGUUUCAGAUAAGUACCAGUAUUCAUGUAAUUAUAGAAAAGAACAAUUUGAUUUUAAAUAUAAAGGCCAGAAUAAAUAGUGUGUUUCAAAUACCCUGUAUAAAAACUAUUUUCAGUGUUUUUGAAAGGUUUCAUAAAAGGCCGUUUGAUUUUGCAAGUUUAAAAAGAACAAAGUAAAAUUUCUUGCCAACCUACCCACCCUAUUUUUAUUAUAGGUUGGAGUUGGAAACCACUAUUUAUUAUUUUGGUCCUAUAGUAUGAAGGUCAGCUAAUAUUGCAAAGAAAGCCAUGCCUAUUCUACAGCUUGCACUGUUAAAUAAGCUACAUGUACAAUUACAAUUACCAGUAAGCUUAUCAUAAAAACCUGUAUAUCUUGUAUCUUUGAUAAUUACGAGAACAAUUGUGAAUGCAAAAGAAAUGCUUUCUUUGAUAUAAUGAUUUGUAGGCAGAUCAUUGCUCAUAUCAACUGUUUAUACAUGUCCAGUGCUUCAUUUGUGUGUUGAGAAUCCCUAACCAGAGAGAACUGAUGCUUUUUAUUGCUAUAUGACUGUUAUAAAACAAAUCUUGUUAACACAUUGUCCAUGUAUAUUUAUAAAUAAUUCUUCCAGACACAUAGACUCUUGCUUAUGCUAUGUCUUACAUAUUGUUAAGAAAAUGAAAUCUUUUUUGAGAUUUGCUAUUCAGAAUAUGAAAUGUAAUUUUGUUGAGAUUUCAUUUCAAGUGAAAUUAUACAUGUAUUUGAAUUGACACUUGUAUUUAAAGCACAUCUAAAUAUCAAAUUACAAAAUCUUACAAGAUUCAAAACACUACUUGUGGUUGAAAAGCCAGUUGUUUCAAUUAUUAAAAUGACAAAAACC